rnacentral:rRNA from 1 species
GUCCACGCCGUAAACGAUGUGCACUAGAUUUGGGAGGUUUGACCCCUUCCGAGUCGCAGCUAACGCAUUAAGUGCACCGCCUGGGGAGUACGGUCGCAAGACUAAAACUCAAAGGAAUUGACGGGGGCCCGCACAAGCGGUGGAUUAUGUGGUUUAAUUCGAAGCAACGCGCAGAACCUUACCCGGGCUUGAAAUCCUGAGAACCUGCCCUAAAAGGCGGGGUGCCCUUCGGGGAAUUCAGUGACAGGCGCUGCAUGGCU